CCUACGGGUGGCAGCAGUCGAGAAUCAUUCACAAUGGGGGAGACCCUGAUGGUGCGACGCCGCGUGGGGGAAUGAAGGUCUUCGGAUUGUAAACCUCUGUCAUGUGGGAGCAAAUUAAAAAGCUAGUACCAUAAGAGGAAGAGAUGGCUAACUCUGUGCCAGUAGCCGCGGUAAUACAGAGGUCUCAAGCGUUGUGCGGAAUCAAUUGGCGUAAAGCGUGCGUAGGCUGUUUCGUAAGUCGGUUGUGAAAGGCUCGGGCUAAACCCGCGGACGGCACAUGAUACUGCGAGACUAGAGUAAUGGAGAGGGAGCCGGAAUUCGCGGUGUAGCAGUGAAAUGCGUAGAUAUCGAGAGGAACACUGGUGGCGAAGGCAGGUUACUGGACAUUCACUGACGCUGAGGCACGAAAGCCAGGGGAGCGAAAGGGAUUAGAUACCCGGGUAGUC
rnacentral:rRNA from 1 species